AUGAAGAACGUAGCGAAAUGCGAUACUUGGUGUGAAUUGCAGAAUCCCGCGAAUCAUCGAGUCUUUGAACGCAAGUUGCGCCCGAGGCCAUUAGGCCGAGGGCACGUCUGCAUGGGCGUCACGC
rnacentral:rRNA from 10 species